rnacentral:lncRNA from 12 species
AACCCCGGGGCCAAACUACUUGUCGCUUGGGUCACUCUCCAAGGAAAAAGGCACAAAAGAUGACAUUCGAGUUCAUUCUGCUGUGCGGUGACGGCCCUUUUAAAAGGUCUGUCCAGGGCAGUAGAGCCAAAGGUUAGAGGGAGAGGAUUUGGAAGUUGGUUUUCCAAUUCAUUCCAUUUCUACAUUAACCUCAUCAGAAAUUACGCAGAGAGUAUCGGAAGAGGACAGGAUUACGGCCCAUAGAUUCCGCCCUGUGACCUCGGGCCGGGCACAUGGAGGAGUGGAAACACCAGCACGUGGCAAGGGUCAGGGCCGGGAAGGUGGCCCCGGGGUGCAGAGGGGCCGGGACCGAGGACAGCCGGCCCUCGGGGAGGAGCCAAGACUCGGGGAGCACUGCGUCCACACCGCUCGCCUGCACACACACACUGUGCUUCCCGCAGACACAAGCCCCCGAGUUCUAGAAGGCAGGGACUCGGGCGGAGCUCCUUUUUUUCUCAACACAGUACACAGGACUGGGCCCCCGACGGAAGCUGCCCUCGUGCCUGUGGUUGGAGGACUUCAUUCACUGUCAGAAAUAUUUACCGAGGCCUACGUGAACCAGGUGAGGUGUGAGGCUGGGAACACAGUGGGGAGGAAGGGAGGGGGGAGGGAGGGGGAGGAGAGAGAGAGAGAGAGAGAUGGUGAGGUGAGAAGAGAGGAGGAGGGGGAAGGAGGAGGGAGGAGGAGGGAUGGGGGACGUAGGUGAGGGACAGGGACGUGCCGCACAGCUGUGGGAAGCCAGCCAGGCCAUCCUGGUAGGUAAGCUCUCAUUUGAGGGGUUUUAUUUAUUUUUUUUUAUUUGAGGGGUUUUAAUCAGGAGUCCACAUUCUCCCAGAGAAUCCAGGGGGUCCGGGAACUUGCACAGGAAGAUAGAGAUAUUUUUAUUUUCGCUGAUCUCUACCUGAAAAUCAGCACUUCUUGCGACAGCGAAUGGACGUAAACGCCAGGGACAGACCCGGGACUCGGUCACAGAUUAGAGAUACACUCUGAUGUGACCUUCGGUUUGUCCCAGCGAUCUCAAAACCGCACCGAUCGCCCGUGGCUACUUUGAAAUUGUAGAAUGGUCGUCAGAACUGCCGGGAGAUCUUAUUACAAAAUGCAUUAAAAAGAAGAACACACAGUUUUAAAAUUGGUAAGCGGGUAUCAAGGGAACUUGAUUUACUCUGCAAUCCAGAGUGUUUUCUUUGACGCGUUUAGAAAUAUUAUCCUAAAAAAAAAAAAAAAAGAAAAGAAAUAUUAUCCUAACAAGGGGGCCGAAGGCUUCACCAAAGAGGAAGGAAUCCCAGCCCCAAUCAGAACCUCAGUGACACCCUGGGGAAAGGCUGCUUUCAGGAAAGGGCCACUUCUUAGCUUUCAGAAUCUUGGUUCACACUUGAUAAUAAUUAAGCUGAUUCAAAGCCUCUCUGCAGAGCAGCGAUGGCUGGCUGCGUGUUUUAUUCUCACAUAACAGUUUGCAGAGAGUAUGCGCCGCUCUAGAGCCCAUAAUGCAAGGCUGGCAAGUGAGUAAUUUGCCAUUUUAUUUUAUUUUAUUUUAAAGAUUUUAUUUAUUCAUGAGAGACACAAAGGCAGAGACACAGGCAGAGGGAGAAGCAAGCUCCCCACGGGGUGCCCGAUGCGGGACUCGAUCCCGGGACCCUGGGGUGACGCCCUGAGCUGGAGGCAGACACUCAGCCACUGAGCCACCCGGGCGUCCCUAUCGAGUAGAACUUACAUCACAUGAAAUCCACCAUUUUAAGCGUGUCAUGGGUAAAUUUUAGUGACUUUACCAAGUCAUGCAGCCACAACCGUGACUCACUUUUAGAGCAUCUCCAUCACUGGGUUGUUGUUGUUGUUUUGUUUUUUUUUAAGAUUUUAUUUAUUUAUUCAUGAGAGACACAGAGAGAGGCAGAGACACAGGCAGAGGGAGAAGCAGGCUCCAUGCAGGGAGCCCGAUGCGGGACUCGAUCCCAGGACCCAGGGAUCAUGCCCAGAGCCAAAGGCAGAUAGAUGCUCAACCACUGAGCCACCCAGGUGUCCCCGUUUUAUCAUUUUUUUAAAACAAAGAAGCUGAAACUCAAAGAAAUGUAGUCUCUGGCCCAGCGUCACUCAACCCAUCCAUGGGUGGUGACAAAGCCUCGCAGCUCGGCCUGCUGAUCGGAGCCCUGGUGCCACCCGCCCUCCACGUGCCAGCCCGUGCACCUGCUGCUGCCGCACAUGCACCUGUGCAGGGGGUGCGGGCCCCACACCCGGCCCGGCCCUCUCCUGCCCGCCGCCCUCCGCCCGCUGCUCGGUCUGCUCUUAGGUGCCUGGGACAGCACGCGAUGAGGCUCAUCAGGCCAAGUGUGCACUAGCUUAUUGGCCUGGGAGCCCCGUGGUUUCUCAGGGCUCGGUGCUGUCUCCCCAUCUUCUGUCCAGGGGCCCUCGGUGAGGCUGCCGGGGAAGCCGUGCAACAGCAAACAGCCUUCAUGCAGGUAACAAUGACGCGGGCACCCCGCCAGCCCCCCGCUUGCUUCAGGAUAUCUGUAAAAUUACAUGUAAAAGGUCAAUAAACGUUUUCAUUUCCUGACCCA